UACCCGAAUGGGGAAACCCAGUGUGACUCGUCACACUAUCAUUAACUGAAUCCAUAGGUUAAUGAGGCGAACCGGGGGAACUGAAACAUCUAAGUACCCCGAGGAAAAGAAAUCAACCGAGAUUCCCCCAGUAGCGGCGAGCGAACGGGGAGGAGCCCAGAGCCUGAAUCAGCAUGUGUGUUAGUGGAAGCGUCUGGAAAGGCGCGCGAUACAGGGUGACAGCCCCGUACACAAAAGCGCAUGUGCUGUGAGCUCGAUGAGUAGGGCGGGACACGUGGUAUCCUGUCUGAAUAUGGGGGGACCAUCCUCCAAGGCUAAAUACUCCUGACUGACCGAUAGUGAACCAGUACCGUGAGGGAAAGGCGAAAAGAACCCCGGCGAGGGGAGUGAAAAAGAACCUGAAACCGUGUACGUACAAGCAGUGGGAGCACCCUUUGGGUGUGACUGCGUACCUUUUGUAUAAUGGGUCAGCGACUUAUAUUCUGUAGCAAGGUUAACCGAAUAG
rnacentral:rRNA from 1 species